UACGUAGGGGGCGAGCGUUGUCCGGAAUUAUUGGGCGUAAAGAGCGUGUAGGCGGUUCGGUAAGUCUGUCGUGAAAACCUGAGGCUCAACCUCGGGCGUGCGAUGGAUACUGCCGGGCUAGAGGAUGGUAGAGGCGAGUGGAAUUCCCAGUGUAGCGGUGAAAUGCGCAGAUAUCAGGAGGAACACCGGUGGCGAAGGCGGGUCUCUGGGCCGAAACUGACGCUGAGGAGCGAAAGCGUGGGGAGCAAACAGG
rnacentral:rRNA from 1 species